GGAGGCUUAGCUCAGUUGGGAGAGCGUCUGCCUUACAAGCAGAGGGUCAGGGGUUCAAGUCCCUUAGCCUCCACCA
rnacentral:tRNA from 13 species